GACGAACGCUGGCGGCGUGCCUAAUACAUGCAAGUCGAGCGAGACUCUUCGGAGUCUAGCGGCGGACGGGUGAGUAACACGUGGGCAACCUGCCUGUAAGACUGGGAUAACACCGGGAAACCGGUGCUAAUACCGGAUAAUCCUUUUCCUCUCAUGAGGAAAAGUUGAAAGUCGGUUUCGGCUGACACUUACAGAUGGGCCCGCGGCGCAUUAGCUAGUUGGUGAGGUAACGGCUCACCAAGGCGACGAUGCGUAGCCGACCUGAGAGGGUGAUCGGCCACACUGGGACUGGGACACGGCCCAGACUCCUACGGGAGGCAGCAGUAGGGAAUCUUCCACAAUGGACGAAAGCCUGAUGGAGCAACGCCGCGUGAGCGAUGAAGGCCUUCGGGUCGUAAAGCUCUGUUGUUAGGGAAGAACAAGUACCGGAGUAACUGCCGGUACCUUGACGGUACCUAACCAGAAAGCCACGGCUAACUACGUGCCAGCAGCCGCCGUAACAC
rnacentral:rRNA from 1 species